UGCAGAUAAUUGUUUUAUAUAUUUUCUCAGUGAGAAAUUAGCACUAAUUGGAGCAAAAGUCUUAUCUGUUGAUUAUGUUUUUUAAAACAUUGUGGAUGAGAUGAUCCAAGAAUAACCUUAAAAUCAUUUAUAUCUGAUGUAGUGCUCUCUUGUAUGUUUCUUCCUAGGUAAAGUGGAUAAGUGAUAAUUAUUUAGAGGCUUUAAGACCACUAAAUUACUUGCCUUCAAUGAUAUCAAGAAAGUGCAGCUGUUCUGAUGCCACCUUUUCCCAAGUGAUAGAGAAGGAGGGAACAAGACAAAUAGGUCAAGCAUCUUUGCCAUUUGCAACUCGGUCUACAAUCAGUCAUUCAAUUGUGAAGACAUGGGUCAUGAUAAAACCCACUUUACAAAAUUAAUGUAAGAUGUACUGCAACAUUCCACACUGACAUCAAAUUACGUUAUGUUUUUGCCAUUCUCCAAAUAUAAACCUUUGGAAGAGGAUGCAAAUUUAGACGUAGAUUGCUGCUGAUUCCGUAAGUUAUGUUUCUUAGAGUGAUGACUGCCUCCUUAUUCAAGUGGUCAUGAAAUUUGUUUAAUAUUCUGUUCUUGAAUUUGAAAAGAAGUUAAUAUCAACUUGACUAUCCUGUUUUGUUUUGUUUUUUAAGAAUUGUUCCUCCGACCCCACUC
rnacentral:lncRNA from 1 species